GACGAACGCUGGCGGCGUGCCUAAUACAUGCAAGUCGAACGAACUCUGGUAUUGAUUGGUGCUUGCAUCAUGAUUUACAUUUGAGUGAGUGGCGAACUGGUGAGUAACACGUGGGAAACCUGCCUAGAAGCGGGGGAUAACACCUGGAAACAGAUGCUAAUACCGCAUAACAACUUGGACCGCAUGGUCCGAGUUUGAAAGAUGGCUUCGGCUAUCACUUUUGGAUGGUCCCGCGGCGUAUUAGCUAGAUGGUGGGGUAACGGCUCACCAUGGCAAUGAUACGUAGCCGACCUGAGAGGGUAAUCGGCCACAUUGGGACUGAGACACGGCCCAAACUCCUACGGGAGGCAGCAGUAGGGAAUCUUCCACAAUGGACGAAAGUCUGAUGGAGCAACGCCGCGUGAGUGAAGAAGGGUUUCGGCUCGUAAAACUCUGUUGUUAAAGAAGAACAUAUCUGAGAGUAACUGUUCAGGUAUUGACGGUAUUUAACCAGAAAGCCACGGCUAACUACGUGCCAGCAGCCGAGGUAAUACGUAGGUGGCAAGCGUUGUCCGGAUUUAUUGGGCGUAAAGCGAGCGCAGGCGGUUUUUUAAGUCUGAUGUGAAAGCCUUCGGCUCAACCGAAGAAGUGCAUCGGAAACUGGGAAAAUUGAGUGCAGAAGAGGACAGUGGAACUCCAUGUGUAGCGGUGAAAUGCGUAGAUAUAUGGAAGAACACCAGUGGCGAAGGCGGCUGUCUGGUCUGUAACUGACGCUGAGGCUCGAAAGUAUGGGUAGCAAACAGGAUUAGAUACCCUGGUAGUCCAUACCGUAAACGAUGAAUGCUAAGUGUUGGAGGGUUUCCGCCCUUCAGUGCUGCAGCUAACGCAUUAAGCAUUCCGCCUGGGGAGUACGGCCGCAAGGCUGAAACUCAAAGGAAUUGACGGGGGCCCGCACAAGCGGUGGAGCAUGUGGUUUAAUUCGAAGCUACGCGAAGAACCUUACCAGGUCUUGACAUACUAUGCAAAUCUAAGAGAUUAGACGUUCCCUUCGGGGACAUGGAUACAGGUGGUGCAUGGUUGUCGUCAGCUCGUGUCGUGAGAUGUUGGGUUAAGUCCCGCAACGAGCGCAACCCUUAUUAUCAGUUGCCAGCAUUAAGUUGGGCACUCUGGUGAGACUGCCGGUGACAAACCGGAGGAAGGUGGGGAUGACGUCAAAUCAUCAUGCCCCUUAUGACCUGGGCUACACACGUGCUACAAUGGAUGGUACAACGAGUUGCGAACUCGCGAGAGUAAGCUAAUCUCUUAAAGCCAUUCUCAGUUCGGAUUGUAGGCUGCAACUCGCCUACAUGAAGUCGGAAUCGCUAGUAAUCGCGGAUCAGCAUGCCGCGGUGAAUACGUUCCCGGGCCUUGUACACACCGCCCGUCACACCAUGAGAGUUUGUAACACCCAAAGUCGGUGGGGUAACCUUUUAGGAACCAGCCGCCUAAGGUGGGACAGAUGAUUAGGGUG
rnacentral:rRNA from 2 species